AGUCUUCGGGGCAGGGUGAAAUUCCCUACCGACGGUGAUUCUGACGUUGCUCAGAAAGUCCGUGAACCGCGGAAGCGGCUGAUCCGGUGUGAAUCCGGAACCGACAGUAAAGUCUGGAUGGGAGAAGAA
rnacentral:ncRNA from 1 species